rnacentral:rRNA from 1 species
AACUUUCAACAACGGAUCUCUUGGUUCUGGCAUCGAUGAAGAACGCAGCGAAAUGCGAUAAGUAAUGUGAAUUGCAGAAUUCAGUGAAUCAUCGAAUCUUUGAACGCACAUUGCACCCUCUGGUAUUCCGGAGGGUAUGCCUGUUCGAGCGUCAUU